UACGUAGGUGGCAAGCGUUUGUCCGGAAUUAUUGGGCGUAAAGCGCGCGCAGGCGGUCUCUUAAGUCUGAUGUGAAAUCCCGUGGCUUAACCACGGGCGGUCAUUGGAAACUGGGGGACUUGAGUGCAGAAGAGAAGAGCGGAAUUCCACGUGUAGCGGUGAAAUGCGUAGAGAUGUGGAGGAACACCAGUGGCGAAGGCGGCUCUUUGGUCUGUAACUGACGCUGAGGCGCGAAAGCGCGGGGGAGCAAACAGG
rnacentral:rRNA from 1 species